CGGAUGGUAAGAGAUGUGACAAGUGGCCAGCAGGGCAGUGAGUGGAGAGAUGUGAUGAGGGCCAGUCGGGCAGCAGUGGCUAGCAGUGAGCAGGCGAAUGGCAAGUGACCAGUGGAAUUUUUUGACCACGUUCUGGACCCCUAAAGUUUUUCUUCUCAGUAUGCCAAGCUCUCCUGGUUUUAACAAGUGUGACUCUUGCAAAGACUCGAUGCCUGCAUCUGACAGGCACACCUCCUGCAUGAAGUGUCUCAGCGAAGGCCAUGUGGCACAGAAAUGCCCACACUGCCAGAAUAUGACGGCCAGUGCCAGAAAGGACGAGGAAAUGAGACUAAAAAAUUUCCUCUGGAAGAAAUCCCUAACCACAGGAGGCUAAGUCCACUGUGCCCUUGGAGCUGCUAACUCCUCUUAAGAACAAAUUCAUUGCCGUCAAGGGUCUCCUGUGUGUCCCGGACUUCUCCAGCAUGGUCUUUACCAUCCAUGUAUCAUGUCACCUGUUCACCAGUGCCAUCUACCACCGUCACCUCAGAAAAAUGGAAAAUGGCACCUACAAAGAGAAUGGAGUCAAAGCCAAAAAAGAAGUCGAGCUCCUCCUCACAGACCAGUGCUGCCUCUUGAUUUGCACUGACGAAAGCCGACAUGCCACCCUUUCCCACACUCAUGGUCACCUCGGCACCAAGCCAACUUCUGGUUCCUGACUGUUAGAACCCAAGUACGCUCCAGCAUCAGAGUUCAAAAAGGCUUCUCACAAGACCACAGAUAUGCAGCACCAAGUGCCGCAUCUGCAAAUACCAUCUCCAUCGGUGCCGAGUGCGCCUUCACCUCCACAUUCUCCUAGAAUCCAACAACCCAAUCUGCACCAACAAUCCUCUGAACAUAUUUCCUAUUCACUUACACCAUCAUCACCCGGUGCCAGGCACGGCACCGGCCAGGAGAGCAGAUUCUCUUCACAACAUUUCUCACCAACGGGCUCAGUAACUUCAUGACAUUCCACUUGGCACCAAUAAUACACCACCCCCCAUGGUAUUUGUGGUUUAAUAACCAUUGGCGUAUCCACCACAGCAGUUGCAAUCCCCAUGGCCUCUUUGGGAGCUCUGGAACCAAUGCCACACCCACUCCUCACACCAUCACUGAUCACAUGAGACAGCAGUAUGAACACCAGUAUAUUUGUCAACAAGGUCUCCAGCCUCCACUAUACAGUCUUCUCUGUCUUGUCCUCCGCACUUACCUUCUGUCACUACCCAAGCUGAGACAGUGAACGAAGAUGAUGACCUGCCUCAUUCAGACUUAGAUAGUUCCUCUCCAGUUUCCCAGUCCUCCUCUUCUCCAGAUGAGGCCAUCUUCCCCUCAUCAUCCUCUCCAACUGCAGAUCACUUGAAGCAAUUUCAGGGUCUGUUCAAAUGGGUUGCUCAAUCUUAGGAUAUUGCACUACAGGAAGUACAAGAAAAACAAUACAAAUUACAAUUCUUCAACAAGUUACUUCCUCUAAAAUAGCUCUACCGAUUAAUGAGGCUAUUAUGGAUCCAUUAGAGGUACUAUGGCAAACUCCAGCCUCUAUACCUCUCACCAAUUGCAGAGCAGACAGAAAAUAAUUUGUCUCAGCCAAGGGCAUGGAUUUUCUUUUGUCUCACCCCCAGCUCAUGUCACUGGACUCGGUCCACCACAAAUCAAGAGAGUGACAGUAUAAAUUCGUGCUGUAGGAUAAGGAGCAUAAGUGGUUAGACAUCUUUGGCAGGAAAGUCUACUCUUCUGCCACUCUCUCUCUGGUUCUGCAUAUUGAACUACACCGCUCUCCUGGCUAACUAUCAUUAUGCAAAUUACACCAGACUACAGGAGCUUCCUCAAGAUCUUCCUGAGCAAAAGAAGCCCAAGCUUCAAUCAAUAAUGGAGGAGGGCCAAUCGAUAGCAUGGACCGUGCUUUAGGCAUCUAUGGAUGUGGCCGACAUGGCAGCCAGGGAUAUAGCAAUAGUCAUGUGCAGGGAUUCUUGGCUGCAAUCGUCUUGUGUCCUGCGGGAGUUACAGACAAAGAUGGAAGACCUCCUGUUUGACAGAUGAAGGCAGAUGAAGUCAUCUGCCAAGACAGAUGAAGUCUCUCCAUUCAAUGAAGGACUCUUCACACUUUAGGCAUGUGCACAUCGCCUAACAGGAGAUGCAGAGAACAAUCUGGAAUUGACUUAGUACAUUCAGAUGGGGUCAUGGGAAGAAAGAUGGUUGCUGCUCUUCUAGCUGAAGUCAUUAGGAAUGUGUGUAUGCAGCUAAAUUCAAUAGUGUUUCUCAAGACUGCACUUGUGAGGCUCAGAUUUACUCUGAUUAUACUGUCUCUUACAGGAUGUCUACACCCCACGCGUGGAAUGGCAAUACUGCUCUCUCGGGAGCAAUAACCAGCAACAGCUGUCCCGGCUGCACCCUCACGAAGAACUUGUAGUUGCAGAGAUGUGGGUGUUGACAUUCUGAAGUUUCUCCAUGAGAUUUUUCAGAUGGCAAGAUCUAGCCAGAUACUGGCUUUUCCAGCAACUCAUCAUUUAAUUAGAGGUCCUAGUUCUGCAAAUGGUUGAAUGCAGCAGGACGCUUGCAUCACGAAGAUCAGAUUGCAGGAUCAGGGCCUCAGUAUCCAGACUGGUAUAAUUUAUAACAAAACAUUCAUAGUUUUCUCUUCAAAAAUUACAUAAAUGGCAAUCAGAUCAUGUGUGAGAAGUAACUUUUUUUUUUUUCCAUUUAGGCUUAGAAUGGCACACAGCCAGUAUCAUAAUCCAGUUUUCUUAGGUAUACAGAUUUUAAUCCCGAAUUAUGCCUUGUGUUAUAAAAAUAGAGAGGGGGAUAAUAAUUACCAGCUACCUCCUUCCUUCAGCAAUGGUUA